rnacentral:rRNA from 1 species
AGCUCGUGUCGUGAGAUGUCGGGUUAAGUCCCUUAACGAGCGAAACCCUUGUCCCUAGUUGCCAGCGAGUCAUGUCGGGGACUCUAGGGAGACUGCCGGUGUUAAACCGGAGGAAGGUGGGGAUGACGUCAAGUCCUCAUGGCCUUUAUGACCAGGGCUGCACACGUCCUACAAUGCGAUGCACAAAGGGACGCAAGCUCGCGAGAGUAAGCAAAUCCCAAAAAACAUCGCUCAGUUCAGAUUGCAGGCUGCAACUCGCCUGCAUGAAGCUGGAAUCGCUAGUAAUCGCGGGUCAG